GACGAACCGUGCGAACGUUAUUCGGAAUCAUUGGGCUUAAAGGGCGCGUAGGCGGGUCGGCACGUCGGUCGCUGAAAUCCCCCGGCUUAACCGGGGACGUGGCACCGAUACGGCCGACCUGGAGGCGAGGAGGGGGACCUGGAACGUCCGGUGGAGCGGUGAAAUGCGUUGAGAUCGGACGGAACGCCGACGGCGAAAGCAAGGUCCUGGACUCGUACUGACGCUGAGGCGCGAAAGCCAGGGGAGCGAACGGG
rnacentral:rRNA from 1 species